GUGGGGAUGCCGCAUCGGGAAGAGUCGGGCAA
rnacentral:tRNA from 1 species